rnacentral:rRNA from 1 species
GUCAUCGGUACGAGCUUGCCUUUCGAAGGUCUGACCUC